rnacentral:rRNA from 1 species
UAAGAUAUUAAGAGUAUAUGGUGGAUGUUUUGGCGUUUGGAAGCGAUGAAGGACGUAGUAGACUGCGAUAAGCCUCGGUGAGUUGUCAACAAACGUUGAGCCGGGGAUUUCCGAAUAGGGCAACCGACUAUGCUGGAGGCAUAGUAUCCAUACCUGAAAAAAUAGGGUAUGGAGGUGAACGAGGCGAAUUGAAACAUCUUAGUAACCUCAGGAAGAGAAAGAAAUUUCGAUUACCUAAGUAGCGGCGAGCGAAAGGGUAAGAGCCUAAACUGAAUGUACGUGAUAGGUGCUGGCCGUUGUGCAUUCGGGGUAGUGGGAGUUAGCGUUGUGGGUCAGUGACCACAGUAAGAGUUACCAAGGUUAUAUCUAGAUGAAGUGCUUGGAAAGGUACGCCACAGAGGGUGAAAGCCCCGUAAUCGAAAGGUAUGGCUCUCUUAUGCUAGCCACCCGAGUAGUACCGGACACGUGAAACCCGGUGUGAAUCAGGGAGGACCACCUCCUAAGGCUAAAUAUUCCCAGACGACCGAUAGUGAAGAAGUAAGGCGACUGAAAAAUGAAAAGCACCCCGUUGAGGGGAGUGAAAUAGAACCUGAAACCAUAUACUUACAAGCGGUAGGAGCACAAUACUAUAUACUAGAGCGCGGUAGGCGCGACAAGUGUUGUACAUGCGUGUGCAGCAGUUGGGAUAUAGGAAGUGUGACUGCGUGCCUUUUGCAUAAUGAUCCGGCGAGUUACCGUAUGCGGCAAGGUUAAGUGUCUUCGACACGGAGCCCAAGCGAAAGCGAGUGUGAAUAGCGCGACAAAGUCGUAUGUGGUAGACCCGAAAGCCAGUGAUCUAACCAUGGCCAGGGUGAAGCGGGUGUAAAAGCUCGUGGAGGCCCGAAUGCACUGAUGUUGAAAAAUCAGGCAAUGAGCUGUGGUUAGGAGUAAAAGUCUAAUCAAACUGGCCAAUAUCUGGUUCUCUCCGAAAUAGCUUUCGGGCUAGCCUUUCGUGGUAGCAUGUGGGGGUAGAGCGACUGAAUAGGUCAGUGGGGGCCACCAGCCUACCCUACUUAAUCAAACUCCGAAUACCACAUGUGGAAUCGAAGGAGUCAGACUAUGGGGGAUAAGCUCCUUAGUCAAGAGGGAAACAGCCCAGACCGCCAGCUAAGGUCCCGAAGUUAAGCUAAGUUUAAAGGAGCUGGGAGUGCGAUGACAGCUAGGAUGUUGGCUUAGAAGCAGCCACCAUUUAAAAAGUGCGUAAUAGCUUACUAGUCGAGCAUUCCUGGGCCGAAAAUUGAAGGGAAUAAGCUUAACACCGAAGCUGCGGAUCCGUAAGGAUGGUAGGAGAGCGUUCCAUAAUUAGGACUGAAGGUAGACCGUGAGGACUACUGGACAAUAUGGAAGUGAUUAUGCCGGAACGAGUAACGAUAAAAUGAGUGAAAAUCUCAUUCGCCGAAAACCUAAGGUUUCCUGGGGAAGGCAAAUCCGCCCAGGGUUAGUCGGCACCUAAGGCGAGGCCGAAAGGCGUAGUCGAUGGAUAACAGGUUAAUAUUCCUGUACCACUUAUGUAGCAUUUGAGCAACGGGUUGACGAAGGAGGCUAGGUUAACCUCGUGGAUGGUCGAGCGGGGCCAAGCGUGUAGGGAGAGAGUCUAGGAAAAUCCGGAUUCUUGUUAAUCCUGAGACGUGAUGGGGGACAAUAGUCUGUAGUAACCGAUGCCAUGCUUCCAAGAAAAUUCUCGUAAAGCGAGUUGCAUAAGUGACCGUACUAAAACUGACACAGGUAGGUGAGGAGAGAAUCCUAAGGCGCUCGAGAUAACCUCUGUUAAGGAACUCGGCAAAUUGACCCCGUAACUUUGGGAGAAGGGGUACCCUUGAUGGUGAAGGAUGUACAUCCGGAGCUGUUGGGGGGCGCAGUGAAAAGGCCCGGGCGACUGUUUACUAAAAACACAGGUCUCUGCCAAGACUUAAAGUCGAUGUAUAGAGACUGACGCCUGCUCAGUGCCGGAAGGUUAAAGGGAGGGGUUAGCUUCGGCGAAGCUCUGAACUAAAGCCCCGGUUAACGGCGGCCGUAACUAUGACGGUCCUAAGGUAGCGAAGUUCCUUGUCGGGUAAGUUCCGACCUGCACGAAUGGCGUAACGACUUGGGCACUGUCUCAACAGAGGACUCGGUGAAACUGUAGUAGCGGUGAAGAUGCCGCUUACCCGCAGCAAGACGGAAAGACCCCGUGAACCUUUACUGCAGCAUGGUAUUGGGUUUUGGUAUAGCUUGUGUAGGAUAGGUGGGAGGCUUUGAAGUGGAGACGCAAGUCUUUGUGGAGCCGCAAGUGAAAUACCACCCUUGUUAUACUAGAAUUCUAACUGGUGUCCGUAGAUCCGGUACCAGAACAGUGCUUUGUGGGCAGUUUGGCUGGGGCGGUCUCCUCCUAAAAGGUAACGGAGGAGUUCAAAGCUACUCUCAGCACGGUCGGCAAUCGUGCGUAGAGCGUAAAGGUAGAAGGGUAGUUGACUGUGAGACUUAUAAGUCGAGCAGGUGUGAAAGCAGGACUUAGUGAUCCGGUGGUCCCGAGUGGAAGGGCCAUCGCUCAACAGAUAAAAGGUACUCCGGGGAUAACAGGCUUAUCGCCUCCAAGAGUUCAUAUCGACGAGGCGGUUUGGCACCUCGAUGUCGGCUCAUCGCAUCCUGGGGCUGAAGAAGGUCCCAAGGGUUUGGCUGUUCGCCAAUUAAAGCGGUACGCGAGCUGGGUUUAGACCGUCGUGAGACAGGUCGGUCCCUAUCUGCUGUGGGUGUAGGAGAUUUGAGAAGGUUUGCCCUUAGUACGAGAGGAUUGGGGCGGACGAACCUAUGGUGCUCCAGUUGUCGCGCCAGCGGCAUAGCUGGGUAGCUACGUUCGGAAAGGAUAAGCGCUGAAAGCAUAUAAGCGCGAAGCCUUCUUCAAGACGAGAUCUCCCUGAAGGGUCCUGGAAGACUACCAGGUUGAUAGGCUGGAUGUGUAAGUGCAGCAAUGUACUCAGCUAACCAGUACUAAUAUCCCGUUCGACUUAUC